GAGCGGCUUAAAAAUGCGUUUAGUCUUGGAAAUUUUUCCUUCUUUUUGCUACCGACGUACUCGAAAUCAAAUUCUUCAGCCUUUAUUACAUGGGAACUAUGUAGUUGCUGUUCUUCCAACUGGGUUUGGUAAAUAUCGUUCGUUCGCUAAACAAAAUUAACAAGAGGACACGGAAAGUGUUUUGAACUGGGAUGUUAAACUUGGUUUUACCCUUCCAAAGACUCUGCUGUGCGACGAUUGGAGCGAGUUUAUGAAUUAUAAG